ACCUCAGAGACACUCAGACCUGGAUUAGAAUUCUCUCUGCCACUCACUAGCUGUGUGACCUCAGAAAAAAGAUUGAGUUGCAUCUAACAAGUGUGGACAAAGAAGGGGAGGAAGAGACUGAACAUGUACGAAUAGAACCUGCCGACUGCAUUUCUUGUCAUUCCCCAUUUUCCACCCCAGAGUGGCAUCUUCCUGAAGACAUUUCAAAGC
rnacentral:lncRNA from 1 species